rnacentral:rRNA from 1 species
GACGAACGCUGGCGGCGUGCUUAACACAUGCAAGUCGAGCGGUAAGGCCCUUUCGGGGGUACACGAGCGGCGAACGGGUGAGUAACACGUGGGUGACCUGCCCUCAGCUCUGGGAUAAGCCUGGGAAACCGGGUCUAAUACCGGAUAUGACUCCAUGACGCAUGUUGUGGGGUGGAAAGCCUUGUGCGGCUGGGGAUGGGCCCGUGGCCUAUCAGCUUGUCGGUGGAGUGAUGGCCUACCAAGGCGA